AUGCAAGUGCUGAGACAGGAAAUGCUCUCCCAUCUCUCCUUCCCCAGAGGGACGUCUGUGUGGAUGCAGGCCCAGCAGCGGACAUGGCUGCCUGCUCAGGCUGUGUCUGAGGGUUGGAGCACCAGGGGGCCCCCAGUCUGCAGUGGCUCUGGUGUGGAGAAACCUCCAGAAACAAGGAAGCUGCAGCAAGAGCAGAGUCAUCCCGCUGAGGAGACGGGCAGACAGGCAGAGAGGGAGGAGAGCAGAGCAGACGGGCGCAGCAGCACGCCGGACUCAAGGCCUCCUGUGCCCGCUGUCCACGGACGCAGAGCGUGCAUGCCGGCCCAGGGCCUCCUUCCUCACUGCUGUCACUCCCCACACCCCUGCCCAGCACUUCUGUUUUCUCCACGGGGCCCUUGUCUGAGGCUAAAGUCCAGUCUCAGCUGCCAACUGCUCUGCCCUACCUCCUGCGUCUACACCCGACCUGCACACCACACUCCUUCCUCCUCUCCUCCCAAACGAUGGCCCCUGCAGGCCAUGCCCACGGCGGUCACUGGGAAGGCAGCAGCAGCAGGAGGUGCGGGGGUGUCGUCCCCCACUGCCCAUCUUCUGGCCCCACCUCUGAACCUACUGUGGCUCACCCCUGCAGAACCCCACUCAAAAGCCAUUCUGUUCCUGCCAGGCCCUGCCUCCAAGAACUCCUUCCCUGUGUCCAAGGGUGACCACUCACGCCUGGUCACCCUGGCUUCCUUCCUGACUUCUAGCUCCCAGGGAGCCUUGGUUUCCAAAGCACUGGGCACACAGGAUGUGAGCAUUCUUCACAGUCACCUGGAGAGGUGGACCAGAGACCAGCACGACUGUCUCAUGUCCAUCCCGCUGAGCUGGAGCUCCUGCGGGGCAGGAGCCAGCAUAGCCAGCACACACGGCAACCGGCCUGUCACACAGCGGGGUCACGCAGGACCCCAAGGACACAGGCCAGGGAAAGGGCCCAGCAGACAUCACCACAGAGUCCCAGUCACUGAGAAGCACACGAUCUGCCUGGGAAGAUUGCACAUGUGGUCAAGGCAGACCCACAGACCUGGAGGCCUGCCACGGACAGAGAACCACCAGGUCACAGGGUGCAGCCAGGCCCAGCCGCCCCGGCCCCACCCGCCUCCUCAGUCUGGUCCCAGGGGAAGUGCUGCCAGCUCUGUGUCUGUUCACGCAACUCCAGAGCUGCCCCGGUCACAGGAAACUUUACCCCUUGCAUGCUGGAAAAGGCAGGGGCUCCAGGUGCUAUGCUGA
rnacentral:lncRNA from 1 species